CCUACGGGAGGCAGCAGUGGGGGAUAUUGCGCAAUGGGGGAAACCCUGACGCAGCAAUGCCGCGUGAAGGAUGAAGGUCUUCGGAUUGUAAACUCCUUUUGUUCGAGAGUAAUAAGAGGCUUGCGGGCCUCGAUGAGAGUAUCGGACGAAUAAGCAUCGGCUAACUCCGUGCCAGCCGCCGCGGUAAU
rnacentral:rRNA from 1 species